rnacentral:sRNA from 12 species
CCUUAACAGUUACAUCAUGUAGCUGACAUUUGCCAAGAUAAGGAGAUUUACAUG